AUGAACUUUCAUAGUACAUCGAGGCUUACUUGAGUUAGUAUGAUAAUCCCCAACCAACUCCUAACAAAGAAGAAUAUUAUCAAUAAUACUCCUCCCAGGAAUAAAGGCAGACUGCUUAUCACUAACAAAAGAAGGAAGCCACACAUGAAGCUUAUCAACCAAAAUCUUAGAAAUAUAUUUGUAAAUCACAAUACAACAAGAAAUAGGCAUGAAUUCUUCUAUACAUUAAGCCCCACAUCGUUUCGGAAUGCGAGUAAUAACAUUAGUAUUCACUCCAUAUGGAAGAUACUAGGAGUGGAGUGGGCUACUCCUUGUUUGGGGCUCAAACUAACAAAAAAAUGGGGAUUAGUCCUAAUCCCCCUUACUCAUUCUCAAUCCUUCUCAACUCUCCCAUUACACGUCUCUUACUCCCUCAUUUAUCUGUCGUAAUCCCUUCUGAAAACCCCCUUCAUCCUUUCUGAACUUCAUCCAUUUUCAUUCAUCUUUUUCCUCUUUCUUUGUUUCUCUGUUGGUUUUCUUCUCCAAAUCUCAAUCAUGUAUUGAUUUCCUUUGUUUUCCUCUUCCAAUUUACACUAUCUCCUAUGUUUUCCCUCUUUUCGUCUUCCUCUCCCAACCUCAGAUAUGUCCUCACAUCCUCCAACCCCAUUUCAUUUUUAUCUCUAAAACUCUUGUCUCUGUCGUGACGCAUCCUGUUGUCUUUUCUUCGAAUCUCAGAUCUCAAUCAUUUUCAUUGAUGGUUGUGUUUCCAUGUGUUGCCUUUGAAACACUUCUCCUUCCACUCUCUGGUUUCGUUGACUGGCUUCGUUUUCAUGUGUUGCCUCUGAAACUGUUCUCUUUCCCUAGUUCAUUGCAUGGCUAGGCUUACUGUCACUCUGAUUUCCACUUUGUCACUUGUACAUGUGUACGGAAACAACCUUUAAGGGACAAAUGCUACACUGAAAUGGCCUUCAAAGGGCAAAUGCUAUAAGUGAGUAUGGUAAAGGCAUCGACAGAGCACUAGGGGUCGCCGAUUUUUCUCGGAUUUGUACACAUUUCCUAAAAGUCGAUGAUGAGAAUAUGAAAGAAGACUUUGUUAUGAACUCAAUGCAAUGAAAAACAUUUAAAAUGGAGUCCAAAUGAAGAAGAACGAGUAAUUUGAAGAUCAAGUCCCUACAAGAAAUAAGGUUUUUCCUAGCGCAGCAAUACGUUGCCGAAAACCCUAAGCAACGUUGGGGAAGGUUAUUGCGAUGUCAUGGACAAUGUCGGCAGGCACGUCGGAGAAAGGGCAUCAGGGAUACGUUUCCCAAUGCGGACCACGUCAAUGAUGGCGAAAAUUUCCACGACACACGUUGCAGUACGUCGCAAACAACUUUCGCGACGUGGCAUCGGAAAAGGCUUUAAAUAUUUAUUUUGUCAUUGUUUUAGUUAAUUUAACUAAGCUACAACGUAGUAAAAUUUGCUGUAAAAUGAUGAAAAUGAAAAUAUUUUCAUUCAUUACAAAACAAUAUAUAUGAAAUAUGUUCAACACAAAAAAACAAUUACAUAAUUCAAAAGAAAUACAUUAAUAAAAAAACACACCCGAAAGUUAAUGCUCUA